GCCUCUCUGGCGAUGUGGUCAGCGCAUUUGGCUCUUACCUUGGAGUCUGGGGUUCAAUUCCCUGCUGGGGCC